GUGCUCGCUUCGGCAGCACAUAUACUAAAAUUGGAACGAUACAGAGAUUAGCAUGGCCCCUGCACAAGGAUGACACACAAAUUCGUGAAGCGUUCCAUAUUUUU
rnacentral:snRNA from 1 species